rnacentral:rRNA from 1 species
CCAAUAGCGUAUAUUAAAGUUGUUGCAGUUAAAAAGCUCGUAGUUGAAUUUCGGAAUCUGUCCGUUGGUCGGGCUUCAUUGUCCGUACUGGUGUGAUGGGUUCUUACCUUCUGAAUAACCAGCAUGCCAUUCAUUUGGUGCGCUGGGGAAGCAGGACUAUUACCUUGAAAAAUUAGAGUGCUCAAAGCAGGCUAGUGCCUGAAUACAUUAGCAUGGAAUAAUAAAAUAGGACGGCAUGGUUCUAUUUUGUUGGUUUCUAGGAUCACCGUAAUGAUUAAUAGGGAUAGUUGGGGGCAUUAGUAUUCAAUUGUCAGAGGUGAAAUUCUUGGAUUUAUUGAAGACUAACUUCUGCGAAAGCAUUUGCCAAGGAUGUUUUCAUUAAUCAAGAACGAAAGUUAGGGGAUCGAAGACGAUCAGAUACCGUCGUAGUCUUAACCAUAAACUAUGCCGACUAGGGAUCGGACGAUGUUAAUUUUUUAAUGACUCGUUCGGCGCCUUACG